rnacentral:rRNA from 1 species
CCUACGGGUGGCAGCAGUGGAGAAUAUUGGGCAAUGGAGGAAACUCUGACCCAGCAACGCCGCGUGAAUGAUGAAGGUCUUCGGAUUGUAAAGUUCUUGUCUAAGGGAAGAAGAAAGUGACGGUACCUUAGGAAUAAGCCUCGGCUAACUACGUGCCAGCAGUAGCGGUAAUACGGAGGAGGCUAGCGUUAUCCGGAAUGACGGGGCGUAAAGCGUGCGUAGGUGGUUUGGCAAGUUAGUAGCGGAACGCCAAGGCUCAACCCGGGAACUACUAAUAAUACUGUUGGACGUGAGUGCAGGAGGGGCAACCGGAAUUCCUGGGGUAGCGGUGGAAUGCGUAGAUAUUAGGAGGAACACCAGUGGCGAAGGCGGGUUGCUAGACUGUAACUGACACUGAGGCACGAAAGCGUGGGGAGCAAACAGGAUUAGAUACCCGUGUAGUC